rnacentral:rRNA from 1 species
GAUCCUGGCUCAGGAUGAACGCUGGCGGCGUGCCUAACACAUGCAAGUCGAACGGAGUUCUUAAGGAAUGCGACUUCGGUCAAAUGACUUUUGAACUUAGUGGCGGACGGGUGAGUAACGCGUGAGCAACCUGCCUUUCAGAGGGGGAUAACAUUUGGAAACAGAUGCUAAUACCGCAUAAGAUUACAGUACCGCAUGAUACAGUGAUCAAAGGAGCAAUCCGCUGAAAGAUGGGCUCGCGUCCGAUUAGAUAGUUGGUGAGGUAACGGCUCACCAAGUCGACGAUCGGUAGCCGGACUGAGAGGUUGAACGGCCACAUUGGGACUGAGACACGGCCCAGACUCCUACGGGAGGCAGCAGUGGGGAAUAUUGCACAAUGGGGCGAAAGCCUGAUGCAGCAACGCCGCGUGAGGGAAGACGGUUUUCGGAUUGUAAACCUCUGUCUUCGGUGACGAACAAAUGACGGUAACCGAGUAGGAAGCCACGGCUAACUACGUG